UACGGAGGGUGCAAGCGUUAUCCGGAUUCAUUGGGUUUAAAGGGUGUGUAGGCGGGCUGGUAAGUCAGUGGUGUAAUCUCCGGGCUCAACCCGGAAACUGCCAUUGAUACUAAUGGUCUUGAAUUUUGUUGAGGUAGGCGGAAUAUGUCAUGUAGCGGUGAAAUGCUUAGAUAUGACAUAGAACACCGAUUGCGAAGGCAGCUUACUAAGCAAAUAUUGACGCUGAGGCACGAAAGCGUGGGGAUCAAACAGG
rnacentral:rRNA from 1 species